UACGUAGGGGGCAAGCGUUGUCCGGAUUUAUUGGGCGUAAAGAGCGUGUAGGCGGCCAGGUAGGUCGGUUGUGAAAUCUCGAGGCUCAACUUCGAGCUGUCGGUGGAAACUAUCUGGCUAGAGUCCGGAAGAGGAGAAUGGAAUUCCUGGUGUAGCGGUGAAAUGCGCAGAUAUCAGGAAGAACACCCGUGGCGAAGGCGGUUCUCUGGGACGGUACUGACGCUGAGACGCGAAAGCGUGGGGAGCGAACAGG
rnacentral:rRNA from 1 species